UCGGCGAGCGGCGGACGGCUGAGUAACGCGUGGGAAUCUGCCCCAAAGUGAGGGAUAACUGCCCGAAAGGGUAGCUAAUACCGCACAUGGUCUUCGGAUUAAAGCAUUUAUGCGCUUUGGGAGGAGCCCGCGUCGGAUUAGGUAGUUGGUAGGGUAAUGGCCUACCAAGCCGACGAUCCGUAGCUGGUCUGAGAGGAUGAUCAGCCAGACUGGGACUGAGACACGGCCCAG
rnacentral:rRNA from 1 species